rnacentral:piRNA from 1 species
UGCAGCAAUCGCCCCUCAAACCUACCCUCCU